GACUAUGCCAGUUGACCAUUUUUGACCCUUGAAUAAGUGUAUCAGACACUACUUAUAAUACUGUGUCAUUGCCUCUCUGGAGUGUGAAACUCUUAGAGUUAUUAAAGCCUUGUUUACUUUGUUGGUAACAUUCAUAAAGCAAAAAUACAUACUUUUGUUUCUGUGACUACUAAGCGUUUUCCGAAAGUAUUUCCUUCUGAUUGAAAGAGAAAGUAAGCUGUUGAAAGCAAAAAUGCCUCGCUAUAAGGAGCAGUCCUGUAGUGCCGAGGUAAUAGCUCUAUUAGGCAGUAGGGGAUCCCCCCACCCCCCCCAGCCUCUGGCUUCACCCGUACCCCUGAAGUGCAUCACGCUGCCCAAAUCAAAUUGCUCACUUAAUAUUUAAUGUUUCUGCAACGGAAUCACUUUCUCCCUGGAGGUCGACUUCAGAUUUGCCAGACACGCUGACAACACUGCGCUCCUUAUUUUCCCCACAUGACCUCAGCUUCUGCUUAAAACAUGGACGAAUAAAGGAUGCUUUUGUUCAUAUCUCGCCUGCCUGUGAUAUAUUGACAAAGUGUCUGCGGGCUGAAUGGAAUAGUUUUACAGUGUGAGCGCCGCUUGCAGCGGAGGGGCCGGGCUUGGGCUUCAGAAGGAAGUGAAUUGGAUAGGUCAGGAGAAUGUACCAUUUGGAAACACCCCUUUCCUUUUUUAUUCACGUGUCAGGACAGCAGGGGCAGGCUGCGGGUGCCGGCCCUGCGCAGAGCCCCAGGGAAAAGCGGCUUGGAAGUCAGCUGCAGUCUUUUAAACCUUGCUUUUUUCCCUUCCCCCGGUCACGAUCGUCAAGUGCUCCGACUUGUCGUAGAGGCUGUUUUGAAACUAACAUGGUUUAGUCCACUAACUGCAUGUUGGGUAAAUUCAAAACCCACAUGCUCGUCCCUUGCAGUGGAAUAAGUCACAUCUGAUGGACAUUUUCUGUGCUUAUAGCAUAGUAAUGAACGCCUGACAGGCGCGACCUUUCAUAAGACAGCCCCCACUAUUGGCUUUCUGCCCAGAAUAUUGCUGCAACACUCUCUGUGAUUGGUUAUCUCCCCUAUCAUGCAUUGCUCCACAAGGGGAAACGGCCCCUUUUUUUAAUAAAUCUACGAUGGCUGGCUGCAAUAUGCCUCACCGUUGGUACUAAGAAGUGCCUUUCCUGACGUCUCUGCUGCUUGGAACCGCUUCUAGAGCAGUCUCUGCUUUUGCCUUGCUUGCUGCCAGCUAGACUGACGACAGCACCUCCACCCUCCACCUCUAGCCCAGACACCCCCAUUUCUACCUAGAAUCAAGAGAAAAGCUCUGAGUAUCUGGCAUUGCCCUAGGCUGCUUUAGUUUUAAAAGAAAAGUUUGCUGAAAAAGUAAGAUAUCUUCUGCCAGGAAAUCAAGGAGGAGAAAAAAAAAAAAAAA